rnacentral:rRNA from 1 species
GUGCCAGCAGCCGCGGUAAUACGAAGGGUGCUAGCGUUAUUCGGAUUAACUGGGCGUAAAGAGCGUGUCGGCGGUCUUUUAAGUCAACUGUAAAAGAGCUCGGCUUAACCGAGUAAAUGCGGGUGAUACUGGAGGACUAGAGUACGGGAGAGAAAGGUAGAAUUCUCGGAGUAGCGGUAAAAUGCGUAGAUCUCGAGAGGAAUACCGGUUGCGAAGGCGGCCUUUUGGCCCGUAACUGACGCUUAAGCGCGAAAGCGUGGGGAGCAAACAGGAUUAGAUACCCUGGUAGUCCACGCCGUAAACGAUGAUCACUAGAUGUGGGUCGUGCAUAGCAUGAUCUGUGUCGUAGCUAACGCGUUAAGUGAUCCGCCUGGGAAUUACGGUCGCAAGAUUAAA